rnacentral:rRNA from 1 species
CCUACGGGAGGCAGCAGUGGGGAAUAUUGGGCAAUGGGCGCAAGCCUGACCCAGCAACGCCGCGUGAAGGAAGAAGGCUUUCGGGUUGUAAACUUCUUUUCGCAGGGACGAAGAAAGUAACGGUCCCUCAUUAAUACACCGCCGCUAACUGCGUGCCCGCAGCCGCGGUAAUACGUAGGUGGCAAGCGUUAUCCGGAUUUACUGGGUGUAAAGGGCGUGUAGGCGGGACUGCAAGUCAGAUGUGAAAACCACGGGCUCAACCUGGGGCCUGCAUUUGAAACUGUAGUUCUUGAGUACUGGAGAGGCAGACGGAAUUCCUAGUGUAGCGGUGAAAUGCGUAGAUAUUAGGAGGAACACCAGUGGCGAAGGCGGUCUGCUGGACAGCAACUGACGCUGAGGCGCGAAAGCGUGGGGAGCAAACAGGAUUAGAUACCCUUGUAGUC